UCUAGGCUAGGACGAUGUAGAUCUAAUUGUAAAUCUAUUCAUUUAAUAACGAUUCUGUCAAUAAUUAUAGAGUCUAGAUCUAGUUUAUAUACCAAUAGCAUAGUAUAGUCCGUAUAUUAUAUAGAAGUACAAAUAGACAGAUCUGCCAUUAACAUUUUCAAGACGAAGUAUCAUGGACAGUAUUGAAGGAUUACGUACUAUAAAGGAAUACUCUAAAAUCUGCCGUUAACAUUUUGACGACGAUGAAGUAUUGUGGACUAGCUACUACACAUGAAAGAGUAGAGAGUGCAUUAAAAAAAGUGUUAAGUCUCAGGAAGUCGCAGGAUGGCUGCCUGGUCUUGUGGUUUGCGCGCUGGACUGUCGUUUGGAUUUAUCGAUGUCUCUGGUUCAAACCCUGCCCGCUCCCAUCCCCUGUCGUCAA